UACAGAGGUGGCAAGCGUUGCUCGGUAUCACUGGGCUUAAAGGGCGCGUAGGCGGUGCGGUGCGGUUUCGGUGAAAUCCCUCGGCCCAACCGAGGAACAGCCGGGGCUACGGCCGCGCUAGACGGCAUCAGGGGACAGUGGAACUCCCGGUGGAGCGGCGAAAUGCGCAGAUAUCGGGAGGAACGCCGGUGGCGAAAGCGACUGUCUGGGGUGCUUGUGACGCUGAGGCGCGAAAGCCAGGGGAUCAAACGGG
rnacentral:rRNA from 1 species